rfam:Puccinia sorghi strain RO10H11247 Scaffold_349, whole genome shotgun sequence.
GUGCAUUUAGCUCAACCGGUAGAGCAUCCGCGCCAUGCGGGAAGGAUGUGGGUUCGAGCCCCUCAGUGUACA